rnacentral:miRNA from 1 species
GUAGAAGGAUGUUGGAAAAUA